GAUGAACGCUGGCGGCGUGCUUAACACAUGCAAGUCGAACGAAGCACUUUAUUUGAUUUCCUUCGGGACUGAUUAUUUUGUGACUGAGUGGCGGACGGGUGAGUAACGCGUGGGUAACCUGCCUUGUACAGGGGGAUAACAGUUGGAAACGGCUGCUAAUACCGCAUAAGCGCACAGCAUCGCAUGAUGCAGUGUGGAAAACUCCGGUGGUAUAAGAUGGACCCGCGUUGGAUUAGCUAGUUGGUGAGGUAACGGCCCACCAAGGCGACGAUCCAUAGCCGACCUGAGAGGGUGACCGGCCACAUUGGGACUGAGACACGGCCCAAACUCCUACGGGAGGCAGCAGUGGGGAAUAUUGCACAAUGGGCGAAAGCCUGAUGCAGCGACGCCGCGUGAGCGAAGAAGUAUUUCGGUAUGUAAAGCUCUAUCAGCAGGGAAGAUAAUGACGGUACCUGACUAAGAAGCACCGGCUAAAUACGUG
rnacentral:rRNA from 1 species